GCCACACUGGGUUCACCCUGUUCUGUGGCACCACCUGUGAGUCUUAGACCAGCCCAAAAACCCUGCCACUCCCAAAGAUCAGCCAUCCAAAUGUCAAGGGACCUGGAAAACUGGAGAUAGUUGAAGGAGGGAGGUAUCUUCAGCCAGAAACCAGCCCAAGAGCAAAGGAGCAAAACCACCUCAGACGAUCAUGAAUCCAUUGGAGUGUCAGCUGGAAAGAAGCACUGGAGCUCAGUCACUCCAAGCUCCCACUCAGGCAAGGGCUGCUGGCAGCACUGAACAGCCACAACUUUCUGCAGCUGACUCUUGGAAACCUGCACAGGUGUCUGGGCAACCUGGAAUGCCACUGCUCAUGGUAAAAGAUUUUCUCCAGUCAUGAAACCAUCAAUCAUAUUGGAACAAGGCCUUUCAAGUAUCUUCCCUUGACUCUGUAUGGAUUGAAAAAUAUAAUUGUUUGUUAAAUCUCCUGCAGAAGAAAUUAUUAAAAGAAUUUGUAUUUGG
rnacentral:lncRNA from 1 species